rnacentral:rRNA from 2 species
CAGCCGCCGCGGUAAAACCAGCACCUCAAGUGGUCAGGAUGAUUAUUGGGCCUAAAGCAUCCGUAGCCUGCUUUGUUAGUUUUCGGUUAAAUCCAUACGCUCAACGUAUGGGCUGCCGGGAAUACUGCAAAGCUAGGGAGUGGGAGAGGUGGACGGUACUCGGUAGGAAGGGGUAAAAUCCUUUGAUCUAUUGAUGACCACCUGUGGCGAAGGCGGUCUACCAGAACACGUCCGACGGUGAGGGAUGAAAGCUGGGGGAGCAAACCGGAUUAGAUACCCGGGUAGUCCCAGCUGUAAACUAUGCAAACUCGGUGAUGCAUUGGCUUGAUGCCAAUGCAGUGCCGCAGGGAAGCCGUUAAGUUUGCCGCCUGGGAAGUACGUACGCAAGUAUGAAACUUAAAGGAAUUGGCGGGGGAGCAC